rnacentral:misc_RNA from 1 species
CUUUCUGAUUUUUUAUCCCCCACUUUAUCAUACUUGUUCUUAUUGUGCAUCGUACUUCCGAUUUUCUUUCUUUUAUUACUACUUUUGUCACCAUCUUCACCGUCUUCGGGGUCAGGGGACAUUGAUCUUUUUCUAUCCAUCUUUUGCUCGAGUCCCUUGGAUUCCUUGUCCUUAUAUUCCUCAUACUUUUUUCUAUAAUUUUCACAAAUGUUCCUUUCUCGAUUUUAACUUCUUCCACUUCUUUUUUGGAAUCUGUAUUUUUCUUCUGCAAUGCUACUUUGUCUGCUCCAAGACCCAUACCUUUUGGUCGUAAUUCUGGUAUGACAGCUGCUACUAAUCUGUAAUAGUUAGAAUAAACGAUUGUGAAAUAAAAAAUGAUGUUCUAUGUUUACUUUCCAAUAAGUGAUGUAUUAAACACAUAUAAUUAAUUUAAUCCAGAGUAAAAUUCAUACUUUUCAUUUCUACCAAUUCCCUUUCCUGGUUGCCAUCCCAUUCCCCGCAACAUUGCUAUACCAAAAGCAUCAAUAGGAAUUUUUUCAUAAUCUUCUAACGUAGACUGAAAAAUACAAAACGAUAUUUAUAAUAUGCAAAUGUAAUACAUCUGUGCAUUGCACAUCAAUAUGUUGAUAACGUACCUGUUCUUUGCCUCUUAAUGAUUCAUCUUCUACUAAAGGUAAGGUUAAAUCAUUUGUUUUAGUUUCAUGUUCAUUCUUUGAUUUAAGAUCCUCAAUGAUUUCUUUCGCCGCUUGUUCUUCUAAAGUAACAACUUUAUUUUCACUAUCUUCAACUGGCUCUUUCUUU